rnacentral:rRNA from 1 species
UACGGGAGGCAGCAGUGGGGAAUAUUGCACAAUGGGCGCAAGCCUGAUGCAGCCAUGCCGCGUGUAUGAAAAAGGCCUUCGGGUUGUAAAGUACUUUCAGUCGUGAGGAAGGUGUUAAGGUUAAUAACCUUAGCAAUUGACGUUAGCGACAGAAGAAGCACCGGCUAACUCCGUGCCAGCAGCCGCGGUAAUACGGAGGGUGCGAGCGUUAAUCGGAAUUACUGGGCGUAAAGGGCACGCAGGCGGUUAAUUAAGUUGGAUGUGAAAUCCCCGGGCUUAACCUGGGAAUGGCAUUCAAGACUGGUUAGCUAGAGUCUUGUAGAGGGGGGUUAGAAUUCCAUGUGUAGCGGUGAAAUGCGUAGAGAUGUGGAGGAAUACCGGUGGCGAAGGCGGCCCCUGGACAAAGACUGACGCUCAUGUGCGAAAGCGUGGGGAGCGAAACAGGGAUUAGAUACCCGU